GGGCAAUUAAGUCAGAGGUGAAAGGCUACGGCUCAACCGUAGCACUGCCUUUGAUACUGGUUGUCUUGAAUUACGGUGAAGUGGCCGGAAUAUGUAGUGUAGCGGUGAAAUGCAUAGAUAUUACAUAGAACACCAAUCGCGAAGGCAGGUCACUAACCGUACAUUGACGCUGAUGGACGAAAGCGUGGGGAGCGAACGGGAUUAGAUACCCCGGUAGUCCACGCCGUAAACGAUGGAUACUAGCUGUCGGAUCUUCGGAUUCGGCGGCCAAGCGAAAGUGAUAAGUAUCCCACCUGGGGAGUACGUUCGCAAGAAUGAAACUCAAAGGAAUUGACGGGGGCCCGCACAAGCGGUGGAGCAUGUGGUUUAAUUCGAUGAUACGCGAGGAACCUUACCAGGGCUUAAAUGCAUUACGACAGGGGUAGAGAUACCCUUUUCUUCGGACGUUUUGCAAGGUGCUGCAUGGUUGUCGUCAGCUCGUGCCGUGAGGUGUCAGGUUAAGUCCUAUAACGAGCGCAACCCUUGCCGUCAGUUGCCAGCAAGUAAUGUUGGGGACUCUGACGGGACUGCCGGUGCAAACCGUGAGGAAGGUGGGGAUGACGUCAAAUCAUCACGGCCCUUAUGUCCUGGGCUACACACGUGCUACAAUGGCCGGUACAAUGAGCAGCCAUCCGGUAACGGAGAGCGAAUCUAUAAGACCGGUCUCAGUUCGGAUCGAGGUCUGCAACCCGACCUCGUGA
rnacentral:rRNA from 1 species